GAUCCUGAGAUGUAACUGCUCAGGUAUUGAUCCUGGGAUGUAACUGAUCAGGUAUUGAUCCUGAGAUGUAACUGAUCAGGUAUUGAUCCUGAGAUGUAACUGAUCAGGUAUUGAUCCUGGGAUGUAACUGAUCAGGUAUUGAUCCUGAGAUGUAACUGAUCAGGUAUUGAUCCUGGGAUGUAACUGAUCAGGUAUUGAUCCUGGGAUGUAACUGAUCAGGUAUUGAUCCUGGGAUGUAACUGAUCAGGUAUUGAUCCUGGGAUGUAACUGAUCAGGUAUUGAUCCUGGGAUGUAACUGAUCAGGUAUUGAUCCUGAGAUGUAACAGGUCAGGUAUUGAUCCUGGGAUGUAAAUGAUCAGGUAUUGAUCCUGGGAUGUAACUGAUCAGGUAUUGAUCCUGGGAUGUAACUGAUCAGGUAUUGAUCCUGAGAUGUAACAGGUCAGGUAUUGAUCCUGGGAUGUAACUGAUCAGGUAUUGAUCCUGGGAUGUAACUGAUCAGGUAUUGAUCCUGGGAUGUAACUGAUCAGGUAUUGAUCCUGAGAUGUAACUGAUCAGGUAUUGAUCCUGAGAUGUAACUGAUCAGGUAUUGAUCCUGGGAUGUAACUGGUCAGGUAUUGAUCCUGGGAUGUAACUGAUCAGGUAUUGAUCCUGGGAUGUAACUGAUCAGGUAUUGAUCCUGAGAUGUAACAGGUCAGGUAUUGAUCCUGAGAUGUAACUGAUCAGGUAUUGAUCCUGGGAUGUAACAGGUCAGGUAUUGAUCCUGAGAUGUAACUGAUCAGGUAUUGAUCCUGGGAUGUAACUGAUCAGGUAUUGAUCCUUGGAUGUAACUGAUCAGGUAUUGAUCCUGGGAUGUAACUGAUCAGGUAUUGAUCCUUGGAUGUAACUGAUCAGGUAUUGAUCCUGAGAUGUAACUGAUCAGGUAUUGAUCCUGAGAUGUAACUGAUCAGGUAUUGAUCCUGAGAUGUAACUGAUCAGGUAUUGAUCCUGGGAUGUAACUGAUCAGGUAUUGAUCCUGAGAUGUAACUGAUCAGGUAUUGAUCCUGGG